GAUCCUUGGCUAGCAAGGAUUAAUGUAGCCGUUCCUGGAUUUCUCUCUGGUUCCCCUUUAAAGGGGACUCAAGAUGUUGAACUAACCACUCAACAAGUCCCCGACCUUAUUCAGGCUAAGGAAGUGGUCAAACCUUCUAAUGAGGAACCAGAGGUACAAGUAGGAGUGACUACCUACCUUGACCUUAAGGAGGAUUUUGAUGUUUUUAACGACCUGACCUAGCCAAGCACUCUGAGGCCAACUCCCAACCUCAAGUUACAGCCCAAGUUAGUAUCAACUAGGAAGUCUCUGACAUACCCAAAGGAAUGGUAAUCCAAAAAAGUAUGCCUAACCUUCUGUCCUUGCAGGAGACCUAUGUUGAGGGAGCUUCGCCUGUUGUACCUGUGGACUUAAGGCCUCCCACCCCUUUUUGGCUUGGACCUCUCCUUCUAAGCCUAUAAAGAAGAAAUGAAAAAGGGAUAAGAGGGUUGGGAAGGAGAGCUCUGAGGAGGGCGAGGUUUAGCUAAUAAUGGAGCAAGAGCCUCCAAAAGGGCCUAAGGUUACUAGAGCCCAGUUGAAGAAAGGUUCCACUGAGGGAACUAGCUUCAAUGUUGCAACAGAUCAGCGCUCCAAGGUCUUUACUUGGAGCCUCUCUCCCUUCUAACUCUUCUAUCAGAGAAUUUCAGCAAGGGAGAGUUGGAUACAUGCCCAACUUUGUUGAGUAGGCUUUUCUCCUCCCUCGAGACAUAGAGGAGCUUCGGAAUUUGAUGAAGCAUAACGUGUUCCUCAUUUUGAAGAGAGAUUUGGCUAUGCGGUCUAGGCCUCCUAUGUUGCUGAAGAGUGGGUGGACUAUGCUCUCUCCAAAUCCAAGGAAGGGGAGUCACGCCGAAUAGCCGUCACUAAGGCUCAAGCUGAUGUGGAGAAAAAGUACAAGGACUCCCUCUUCAGGUUAGCUAAGGCCGAGAGGGGAAGAAAGAGCACUGAAGUUGCCAUGGGGGUUGUUGACAGAUAGGUUGAAGAGCAAUGUGGUCAGCUUUGGACCACUAAGGAAGAGUUGGCUCUUGCUAAAGAAAAAGUUGGACUCCAAUGAAAAGAACUAAAGGGGAAGGAUGCAGAGCUAUUCAAGGCAUAACAAGCUGCUUAUGAACAGGGGAAAAAAGAGACCUCGACCAGUCUUACCCUUUAAAUGAGAGACUUAAGUUAAGAGUUUUGCCCCCAAGUUUGGGCCAAAGCUCUGAAUGUUGUUGGGGUGGACUCGUCUUUGGAGCUUAAAGACCCAUCAAGGAUUGUCUAUCCUUCUACUCUUAGGGGUGAAGCCAGCUCAUCCACUUUGGCAUCGAGACCAGCCGAACCAACUUCUCAACCUCCUCCUGAGAAGGAGGGCAAUGACAAAGGGUCUUUGGAAAAAGAGGACAAGGCUGGAGAAUGAAAAAAGAAAGAUUCCACAGAAUAGGUCUUGUUAGAUCCUUUGUAGUAGGAGCUCCUAAUUUACAUUUUAGCUUAGGUUGCAGGCUUUUAUCCUUUCUUUUUCUUGUAUUGCUUAUUCUGAAAUCAAUGAUUGCUGAAAAUUCUGCUUUUAUCUGACUAGUACUUGCUUGUA